rnacentral:rRNA from 1 species
GAUGAACGCUGGCGGCGUGCCUAAUACAUGCAAGUCGAGCGAACAGACGAGGAGCUUGCUCCUCUGACGUUAGCGGCGGACGGGUGAGUAACGCGUGGAUAACCUACCUAUAAGACUGGGAUAACUUCGGGAAACCGGAGCUAAUACCGGAUAAUAUAUUGAACCGCAUGGUUCAAUAGUGAAAGACGGUUUUGCUGUCACUUAUAGAUGGAUCCGCGCCGCAUUAGCUAGUUGGUAAGGUAACGGCUUACCAAGGCAACGAUGCGUAGCCGACCUGAGAGGGUGAUCGGCCACACUGGAACUGAGACACGGCCCAGACUCCUACGGGAGGCAGCAGUAGGGAAUCUUCCGCAAUGGGCGAAAGCCUGACGGAGCAACGCCGCGUGAGUGAUGAAGGUCUUCGGAUCGUAAAACUCUGUUAUUAGGGAAGAACAAAUGUGUAAGUAACUAUGCACGUCUUGACGGUACCUAAUCAGAAAGCCACGGCUAACUACGUG